GGGUCAGUAGGUUGGUCGUGCCACCGGUACGUACUGGUCUCACUGAUUCCUCCUUCCUGAAGAACCGUAAUGCCAUUAAUUUGGUGUUGCGGAGAAACAGGACUCUUACUUUGAAAAAUUUAGAGUGUUUAAAGCAAGCUAACGCUUGAAUACAUUAGCAUGGAAUAAUGAAAUAGGACGAUCGAUCCUAUUUUGUUGGUUUCUAGGAUUGACGUA
rnacentral:rRNA from 1 species